rnacentral:rRNA from 1 species
UUGAACGCUGGCGGCAUGCUUUACACAUGCAAGUCGAACGGCAGCGCGGGGGCAACCUUGGCGGCGAGCGGCGAACGGGUGAGUAACAUAUUGGAACGUACCCAGACGUGGGGGACAACUAGUCGAAAGACUAGCUAAUACCGCAUACGUCCUGAGGGAGAAAGCGGGGGAUCGCAAGACCUCGCGCGUUUGGAGCGGCCGAUAUCUGAUUAGCUAGAUGGUGGGGUAAAGGCUCACCAUGGCGACGAUCAGUAGCUGGUCUGAGAGGAUGAUCAGCCACACUGGAACUGAGACACGGUCCAGACUCCUACGGGAGGCAGCAGUGGGGAAUUUUGGACAAUGGGGGAAACCCUGAUCCAGCCAUUCCGCGUGAGUGAAGAAGGCCUUCGGGUUGUAAAGCUCUUUCGGCAGGAACGAAACGGCGGAAUCUAAUACAUUCCACUAAUGACGGUACCUGAAGAAGAAGCACCGGCUAACUACGU